rnacentral:rRNA from 1 species
GACAGAGGAGCCAAGCGUUGUCCGGACUGACUGGGCGUAAAGCGCCCGCAGGCGGCCGUGCACGUGGGGUGUGAAAGCGCUCGGCUUAACUGAGCGAGGCCAUCCCAUACGGCGUGGCUCGAGCCGUCCAGAGGCCGGUGGAAUUGCCGGUGUAGUGGUGAAAUGCGUAGAGAUCGGGAGGAACACCCGUGGCGAAGGCGGCCAUCUGGACCAGCACUGACGCUGAGGCACGAAAGCGUGGGGAGCAAACAGG